GAUGAACGCUAGCGGCAGGCUUAACACAUGCAAGUCGAGGGGUAGAGGUUGCUUGCAACCUUGAGACCGGCGCACGGGUGCGUAACGCGUAUGCAACCUACCUUUUACAGAGGGAUAGCCCAGAGAAAUUUGGAUUAAUACCUCAUAGUAUAUAACCUUCGCAUGUUGGUUAUAUUAAAGUUCCAACGGUAGAAGAUGGGCAUGCGUCCUAUUAGCUAGAUGGUAAGGUAACGGCUUACCAUGGCAACGAUAGGUAGGGGUCCUGAGAGGGAGAUCCCCCACACUGGUACUGAGACACGGACCAGGCUCCUACGGGAGGCAGCAGUGAGGAAUAUUGGACAAUGGGCGCAAGCCUGAUCCAGCCAUGCCGCGUGCAGGAAGAAGCAUCUAUGGUGUGUAAACUGCUUUUGUACAGGAAGAAACACCCCGACGUGUCGGGACUUGACGGUACUGUAUGAAUAAGGAUCGGCUAACUCCGUGCCAGCAGCCGCAGUAAAAC
rnacentral:rRNA from 1 species